AUUAUACAUGCAAAUGGUUUCCAAGGCAUUAAACCUAUAACUAGCAUGCGUUUGACAUAAACCAUAUAAUAUACUAGUUAGGGAAACAUACCUUUUAUGUGGAUUGAAGUCUUGAUGUAUUUGGCCUUAAGAGCUUAGCACCAAUAGUAUGAAAUGCCUCAAAUGGAAUCACAACACACCUAGGACAAAGGUAGCUCUUGAGAGAGAAUUCCAUGCACCAAAACACCUCCAUAUUUCUCUAAGAAAAGAAGUGGUGAUUUUGGCUAUGGAGUAACCUAUUUGUAUGUAGGAUACCAAGGGUCAUGGGUAUAACCCAUAAUCCAUACCCAUGGAUUUUAUGAUCCAUGGUUCAUGUGGCCCAACUCUUUAUGUAUCCAUACAUAAACUUGGUCCAACAUGGAUCAUAAGCCCAACACAUAUAAAUAUAACUAAUUAUCAUAAUUAGUCCCCAUAGAUUUAAUUAGUCUCUUUUGAUCACUAAAUUAAUUCCAAAUUAAUUCUUGAUUGAUACUAAUUAAAACAUAUGAUUUCAUAUUAAUAUAUUAUAACUUAUAAUAUAUUAAUAAACCAUAAAUAACCUUCUCUCAAAAGUCCAUCCUAACAAAUUGUCCUGAUGAUAUGCAACCCAAAUGGACCAUGCUACUCUCGGGUCAAGUACAUACCAAUAAUAGUUAUGGGCUUAGACAUCUAAUCCAACAGUCUCCCACUUGGAUAAGUCUAAAACUAUUAUUGCAAGUACGACUUCAUAACCCGACUAGCAAUCGUAGCUCUUAAAGCCGCUGUCGAACUCUGAACAAAUCAAUGACGCGUCCAUUAGAUAAGGGAUCAUAUAUUCCUCCAUUCUAGAUAUCAUAUGGACUGAGACAUGGAUUAUAAUCAUUCUCUCUGUCCAUUUGUUGUUUCCCGAUUUCCGAUUUAUGACGACUGACUAAUUGAACAAAUCAAAUCAGUCCUGGCCCGGCCGAGCACUUCCAUUUGUCAUCAUCAAAUCAUCGAGGGGCCCACAGAUAUCGCUUUUAUCCCGAAGGUAAAAGGAAUGGAUAAACUUCGACUCAUAUGGCUUGUUCUACUACUUGUUGAAUCAUACACAAAGGCACGUUUUAUAACAUCGAGUUACCAAUGCGUUUUCGUGCAAUCAAUGUAUAACCAACUCAUAGUAACAACUCAUAUCUCUAGGUUUGAAGAAUAUAAGAUAUUAUCGUCUCAUGAUCACUCGUGAUAAAAUCCAUGAAGUGAUUCCAAUGAGCGCGGGUUGAAUCCAAUACUCAGAACUUAUGAGCACUCAUGAGUGUUGUAGCCCUUUGUCCAACACCUUAGACCUCUACAAGCCAACCCAUGACAGUCUUAAUUCAUAUCUACUUCCAACAUAUGACCGACUGUGGAUGGUUUGAAUAACUUAGUCAUUCCGGAAGAAUAACCUAGUUUAUUCGGGAAGUCAAAACAUGCAAAAUGAAACACAAUAAUAAUUGAAUCCAAUAUGGUAUCAACCCUUUGAACAUAAAUAAAACACCUUUUAUUUAUCACCAUAUGAUUACACAUUAUUCAUUGUAUACUGUUUCAGCUAUCAACUUUAUUCUUGAAUUUAAAACAAUAGUUGUCCCAUGCUCCAAGCAUGUACACUAUGUUUUCUUAAACACUAGUCAUGCCACACACCAAGUAUGCAUACUAUGUUUGUCUAUGAUCUUUACUUUGUGAACUAGAUCAAUUGAACAUAACUUCAAUGAUUCUCUUUUCACACUCCCAAAUCCUUACUGCAAAUGCAAGAAUUCCAAAUUCAUGCCAUUUACUGAAAUCUGUUAGAUUCUAAACUUAUAUGCAUUGAUCCUCUUGUAAUGAUUAUGCACAAAGUCAUAAAGACUUGACAACAAACAUUACAGAGUAUUCCAAAGGAGAUCAGCUCCUUGGAAACAUCCUUCUUGCAUUAAGUUUCCUAAUCUUAAACAGAUUGAAAAUUCUAACUUUGAAACAUUUCCAGAUUCCAUUUUGACUAUCACUUCUGAACAAGAGUUGCCUCCUUACAGAUUAUGUCAAUAUGGUCCUUCCAGAAUUAUCACUAUACUUCCAACUGUCCUUGAGCAACCAAUCUUUGGUAAACCUUAGAUUGUCCUCGACAAUUGUUUAAUCCUUUUAGUCAUAUCCAGUUCUAAACCUUUUCCCUUCUUAAUGCCCCAGGCAUUUGGAAAAUUUUAGAACGGAUGAAUAUAGCACAUGUAAUCGAUCCUAUAUCCGAAGCAUAUGGGACACGAUUCAUGAUGUCUCACAUAAAGACUAAACCAGUCUUUUGCUAUAAUAUUUCCAUUUCAAUUUGCCAAGUUCUCAUAAUUCAGAUUAUGAAAAGGGAUGCCGUAAUCAUAAUCGAAUUUUAGAACGCAAAUAAUGGACCCAUAUACAGAAUUUCCUUAUGUUGAGCCAUUCCAACAUGAAAUUCAUAUAUAUCCUUGACUAAAUGAUUAAAACCUCACGAUCUAAGCUUAUAGAUUUGAGAUGAAGUAUAAUUUCCUCUCCCUUAAUUAUAGCAAAACAACUUUUUCCCAAUUGAAACUUUUGUUUUCUAUAAUUAACAUUGCUAACUUGCAAUACUUAUCAUAAUUAUCAUGCUCCCACUAACAUGAUGAUUAUUAGCAUAACACUUAUGCUCCCACUAGCUUUGACAUGUACUCAGAAAUCAGCUGGACUUCUAGAAAUCAAUACUUCAUUGACUUUCUUACCAAAGUUCAGAUUUCUGAUACUAGAUUGUUUUGAUAAAACUUUAUCAAAAUCAUACACCUUCCCUUAGAUAGCACACUUGUGUGUCUAAACAAUUAUGAAGAGGGAUGCCGUAAUCAUAAUGGUUAGACCUUUUUGCCACUUCUCACAAGUCCAGGUUAGUGUGCCGGUAAACCACACACGCUCCACUAACGACUUUGAGAAUGCAAAUAUCACAAUUGCUAUCUAGCUAAAAUCUACUUAGUGAAAGUGUUUCCUCACCAUCAUUUUCAUGAAUCGGAGAGAAACCUUAUGACACUUAGAUUUAAUGGUGUAUGUGUUCUUAUCCAUGUGAAUUGUCAAAACCAUAGUCACAAGACAAGGAUAAUGACAAAUCCAAACUCAUAUGGAUUGAACUUGUGCAAUCUUAACUUCUUGCCACCUGGCAGCUCAAGGGCCUGCCAUUGCUUCCAAGUAGUUAUGCAAACAAUUAAGAACAUGUCAAAUCUAUAUCCAACUUAACUGUAAUGGGCAUAGAAAUGUCAGCAGAUAGGUUAUAAACCUCUAAUUGUGUGCUAGCGAUGAAAUACAGGUUUUAUUCUUGAUUACUUCUUGAAACCUUUUUCAGGAUCUUUUAGCCUCCCACUGUCUCCUUGACCUAUACGACUUUCUUGCCAAAUAUUCAAGAGAUAGUGUGGAUUCUAAUCAAGACAAACACUUCACACAAUUGGCCUUAGUUGGUCUUUGUUUUAUCCAAAACAUCACAACUUACCAAUUUCAAAUGUACAAGAGUAGAAAACUUUUACUCUUACAUUUGACAAGUGUUUUAAACCUUCUUUAAGACAUGUCACUCAAGUUACAAUCUUGGAGUAUGACUCUAAGACUUGUAUUGGAACGAAGUAUGACUCAUCUUCUUGAUUUAACCAUUUCAACAAUUCAAGUUCCUCUUCUUAGUCAUAAGAAUGCACUAAGAUUUCCUUAGAGAACUAAUUUUGAUAUGGUUUCUUAAUCAUUAAGAUGAUCACAAAACUGAUACUAAAGUACUCUCCCAUCUUUUCAGAUUUGAGAAACUUUUAUCCUUCUGCCUAAUUUGAUUCUUCUUAUUCGCUCUGCCAUACAUUGGAACCUUUUCCAAUGUCUCAGAGUUACACUUAAGCUUGUAAGUAUAAUCAUAUUUACUGAGCUUUAGUAAACUAUGACGAAUAGUCUUAUCAAUCUUUUGUGGUGGACUUAAUCAGUGCACAAGAAUGUGUACUCGAUCCCUUAGUCCUUUACUUGACUCACACAUCCAUGUGGCCGAGUAAUUAGUCUUAAUUUUCCAAAACUUGAAAGUUCUCAUUCAUCAUGCUAUACAACUUGCAUGAUUCCAAGUUCCGGUCCAAUUGAAACUUGGGUGAUGAGAAUCUUUCCUUAUUUGGUAAAUCUAGACAUUACCACAAAUGAAAGAAUCAAUUUCAUAUUUCCACUCUUGCUCUUAAUGGAAUCAUAUAAGCAACAAUUUUUCCUCAAAUGCCAUUGUAAGGAUAUUUUAAAAUAAAUAAAAUCAAAAAUUUUCUUUUAUUUUAAAACUUUGCGGAAAAACUUAUCCUUACAAUCCAUAUGAAAACUUGUUGUUAUCUAUUCCUAAGCAAUAUCUCAUAACUCCUAAGAAGUUGCUCAAGAAUCCGAUCUUCAAACUAUGCGAUAGAAAUCCAUCUACGCCAUCAGAUUCAGCAUAUUCUUUCUUUAAGUUUCUUCACUUUUCUUUGAUUCUUAAAACAUCACCAUGUGACCCAGUCACAUCAUGUAUCAGGAAUCUCAGAAUAGAAACUUAACAGAGUUAGAUAGUGGUCUUUACCUGAAGUAGAGUCAAACUUAUUGACUUUAACAUCCUUAGGUAAAUUUGGCAGCUUCGCAACCAAUGCCCCUUCCCUUGGCAAUAUAAACAUAUGGACCCUUUGAUAAUGGUACACGAGACUAUCACAGACUUAGCUUUUCUCUUUACCAUUUGGUCAACCGAGUUGACUAUGGCCGAUCCCUUUCCAUUGGGAAGAGAAUGCUUUACUGGAUAUCCAAUGUCAUCAUUGUCAAUGUCCAUAAAGUUUUAGGAAGUUGAUCUUAGCAAAUAGAUAAGAUCAUUAAGGGUCUUGUCAUAGUCUGUUUCAUAGGUGUCCCAAAGGAACUCACUAUGUGACUUAGAAAGUGAUUGAACCACCAACUUUCUCAAGACUUUGACACCCAACUCUCCCGGCUUGUCAAUAUGUGACUACAUCUCCAAGAUGUGAUCACACCUAGACCUUGCCUUGCCAAUAGGGCUUGAGUGACCUUAAACUUUUCAAGAACUUGUGGGUUAGGGAGAAUAAUUGGAGGAGGUGAAAGAAGUAUGAUUUCCAAAGGACAUCAUCUUCAUUUAGGAAACCUUGUUUCACUAGAUUUGGGAAGAUCAUAGGUGUCUAUUACAGACAUCUUUUGGGAGAUAUUCAAGAUAGUUGAUUUAAAGUCCUUAAUAUGACACCCAAUAUGAAAUAUUAAGGCUAGGACCCAACAAACUAUUUUAUAACUUAGAAGAGGUAUGCCGUAAUCCAAGCUAUAAAAUAUUUGAAGGUAGGUGAAUGACGAUUCACCAAUUUCCACCAAGAUAAACGAAAUGUAUUAUUAGGUUUUAAUUGGUUUUGAAACUCCUAGAUCUUUGAGAUUCAUUGAACUGUUCAAAGGCAUGUUUCAAUCUCGAGUGUGCCCUUCAGGUUUUGUGACUGGGAUGCCGAGGAUCACAAAACAAGGUGUGAAGUAACCAUGCAAAUCACUUGGUACCCUUAAUAAAUUACCCCUCAAUCGAUGUGCCGGUUAACCACACACGCUCCAUCGAUACUAUGAUAAAUAUUAAGUCACCCUUUACCUACCUUGUUAAGUCCAAGUUAGUGUGCCGGUUAACCACACACGCUCCACUAACGACUUAGACAAAGUGUAAAGUGUAAUUUCAUGGAUUAGCACCUUAUUCACAUUUUUCCUAAGUAACUAAGAUUGGGUAUUAUUAAGAGUUUAGUUACUUAGUAUUAUCAUUAAUACUUUUAAUGAAGGGAGAAUUCUAGUCCUGUCAAACCCGUUCGGCUAACGACCCUCCACCAGUCAAGCAAGCGGUGGGUGAGAGUGGACACCCAUUAAGUUGCCAUUUUAUAGGCAACAACCUUAUACCCACCUUAUAGACCGGCUUCGUGAAUGAGGCGUACUAGCGGUAAGACUGACUUUACUCUUAUACAUAUAUAUAUUAUUAACUUAUAAUAUUAUAAAGUAUAAGGGUUGAAUUUUAACUUUUAAAAUUCUAAGGGCUAACUUGGAAUUAAAGUAUUCAUAAGUGAAAACUUUACAAAUUCCAAAACUUGAGGGCAAGUUUUGAAACUAUUCAAAACUAAUUAAUUCCAUAACUUAUGUGUUUAAAGUAGUUUUAAUCCAAAAACUCUUCAAGUUCCAUAACUUGAGGACAAGUUAUGGAAGACAUUAAAUCAUUUAAUGAUGACAUUAAAAAUAGAGACUCUUCUAUUUUCAUAACCUAUGAGACUUAAUGACACUUUAAAAAAGAAAAAUUCUUUACUUUCCAUAACUUGAGGACAAGUUAUGGAGUUCAUAAAAACCAUUAUGAUCAAAUAUUCCAAUUAAAACAAUAGUAAAAUAAUUUUUCUAUGAUCUAGAUUAAACUCAUAAGUAAAGAUAAUUCACAUCAACAAUUUUCAAGAAAUUAGAUAAUCAUAUAAACUAAUACAAAUCUUGAAACUUUGACAAUUAUCCUUUGAAGACUCUUGGACUUCAUAACCUAAAGAGUUAAUAAAUGAGACAUUUCACAUCCAUAACUUAUGGAAGUUUCAAAACUCUUAAAAUUAUACCUUUAAAAAAAACUUUUGAGUUCCAAAAUUUUAUGUCAAAAUUUGUAACUCCCUAAAACCACUUAGAUCAAACUUUUAAAACAAAUAAAAUAAUCAUAUCAUUCUAUCUUUUAAUAAAUUGACCUAAUUCAACUCUUGUAGUAAAGUGACUCAAAUUUUACAAAUAAUUAGUUUUUCAUAAAAUCAAGUAAUUAUCAUAAAAUUUGACAAACUUCAUGUUUUUUUUUUCUUUUUUUCCCAUCAACUUAAAAAAAAAUACAUUUGCAUCAAAUAUAGUAGAAAACAACCCAUGGCUCUGAUACCACUGUUGGGUUUUGGUAUAAUACAACAUCCUAUGGUGCACAUACAACCCUAAAUACCUUGGAUCUAUGUUUUCACUAAUUAUACAUGCAAAUGGUUUCCAAGGCAUUAAACCUAUAACUAGCAUGCAUUUGACAUAAACCAUAUAAUAUACUAGUUAGGGAAACAUACCUUUUAUGUGGCUUGAAGUCUUGAUGUAUUUGGCCUUAAGAGCUUAGCACCAAUAGUAUGAAAUGCCUCAAAUGGAAUCACAACACACCUAGGACAAAGGUGGCUCUUGAGAGAGAAUUCCAUGCACCAAAACACCUCCAUAUUUCUCUAAGAAAAGAAGUGGUGAUUUUGGCUAUGGAGUAACCUAUUUAUAUGUAGGAUUCCAAGGGUCAUGGGUAUAACCCAUAAUCCAUACCCAUGGGUUUUAUGAUCCAUGGUUCAUGUGGCCCAACUCUUUAUGUAUCCAUACAUAAACUUGGUCCAACAUGGAUCAUAAGCCCAACACAUAUAAAUAUAACUAAUUAUCAUAAUUAGUCCCCAUAUAUUUAAUUAGUCUCUUUUGAUCACUAAAUUAAUUCCAAAUUAAUUCUUGAUUGAUACUAAUUAAAACAUAUGAUUUCAUAUUAAUAUAUUAUAACUUAUAAUAUAUUAAUAAACCAAAAAUAACCUUCUCUCA
rnacentral:lncRNA from 1 species